rnacentral:rRNA from 1 species
CCACCUGACCCCAUGCCGAACUCAGAAGUGAAACGCCGUAGCGCCGAUGGUAGUGUGGGGUCUCCCCAUGCAAGAGUAGGGAACUGCCAGGC